rnacentral:rRNA from 1 species
GACGAACGCUGGCGGCGUGCUUAACACAUGCAAGUCGAACGGAAAGGCCCUGCUUUUGUGGGGUGCUCGAGUGGCGAACGGGUGAGUAACACGUGAGUAACCUGCCCUUGACUUUGGGAUAACUUCAGGAAACUGGGGCUAAUACCGGAUAGGAGCUCCUGCUGCAUGGUGGGGGUUGGAAAGUUUCGGCGGUUGGGGAUGGACUCGCGGCUUAUCAGCUUGUUGGUGAGGUAGUGGCUUACCAAGGCUUUGAAGGGUAGCCGGCCUGAGAGGGUGACCGGCCACAUUGGGACUGAGAUACGGCCCAGACUCCUACGGGAGGCAGCAGUGGGGAAUAUUGCGCAAUGGGCGGAAGCCUGAUGCAGCAACGCCGCGUGCGGGAUGACGGCCUUCGGGUUGUAAACCGCUUUCGCCUGUGACGAAGCGUGAGUGACGGUAAUGGGUAAAGAAGCACCGGCUAACUACGUG